AGCAAAAUAAGAAGAAGAGUGGAUUUCAGGCCAUGGAAUUCAGCAGGCCGAAUCUGAAUGCAAUCCUUAAUAUGGGAUAUGUACAAAGUGCCUACUUCCAGUACAGGAUGAUCCGAUCGUUUGGUAUGUUCGCGGAUUUCGACGACGACGGCAAUGAAGAAAAAGGACGCAUGCGGAUCCUGAAGGCAAUUCUUAAAAAUGUGAUGCAAAGUGCCACUUCAAAUCCUUCGCCCGGGUUUUUGCUUUCCGCUGUUCGAGAAACUAAAACGACGAGCGAUCAAGUUCUCCGUGGAACGUUAAUAUUGGCUCACGAUGGGAAAUUUUCGGAUCUUAAAACGAUUCUACAACUUGCUGCCGAAUGUGAUCGUUUCUAUGCCAAAGUUCAGCGGUGUUGCACUGUGCGUUUGACGAAGGGGACCUCUUUUCGUGAUGGGUUGCGGCGAGACGGAGACACAUUGUGAAAGUUCCCCAAACGGAAACAGAUGGUCUGGUUCUCCGCAAGCUGUUGGUCGACUUUACGAAGGAAGGCUUGAGCGAACUAACGCUUAUCCGAUUGGAGAAUAAUGUAAUGAUUAAGACUAAGGCCGGAGUGGCCUGUGCUGCACAUAAAAGUCUUCUCCAUUCAGCUCGGUCCAUGGCUGCACUUCGAGAACCACGCAGUCUACGGAGGGUCCGCAAAUCGUCCUCCACCUGAUCGAUCCACCUUGCCCGCUGUGCACCUCGCCUUCUUGUUCCCGUCGGAUCGUUGUCGAGAACCAUUUUCACCGGAUUACUGUCCGACAUUCUGGCUACGUGGAGGCUGAAGAUGGAGUGGCAUCUGCAUUGUUUUCUUUUCGCUCGGUCCAUAACUGCACGUCAUCUUCC